AGCACAAGUAAAUAUGGGAAUGUUAUGAUGAAAAUCUCAGUUAUUUCUAAUUGAUGAAAAUACCCUGGUGUUUAUACAAAGCUACACAGUGACUCACAAUGAAAUGAAGUCAGCAAAAUACCAGACGUUUUUACAUCCAAAACAGAGACAAGUGCCAUAUGUUCAUAAAAUAGUUUUCUCCUUAGUAAAUGUUUAUGAAGAAAAUGAAUGGACAAAUUCCAAAAGGAGAAACUUGGGUAAUAUUAUUUUUAGACAACAGAACUAUUUUUUCCAUUAAGAUUUUUUCUUCUCAUUUACGUAUUUUCAUUGCAAAUCAGAUGACACAAAAGGGUAUCUAAUACUCAUACAAAUAUCUUUAAUAUUCCUUGGUGCUUUACUACCACUGCAGCAAAAAUGUAGGAAAAUGUUUUCCUCGCAGACCAGAAAACCCUAACUCUUGCUGUUUGCUGGAACCAGAACUGGGAGCCUGUGGUCAGAUCGAGAUGUACCUGAAUAGAUGUAGGGCUUGGUGGAGACUUGUGUGGAAGACACUAAUUACCUCAAAGUGGCAACAAGAAUAUCAAAAACAGAGGUCAGGAGACAGCGAUCUUGGCCCAGGAAUCCAUCUGCUGCUGCUGCUUUGAACACUGUGAUCGUGAAGAGAAGCCUCCCCAGGAAGAGAAGGGUCUUAGAAAUCUCCUCCACAAGUCGACAUGGCCACUUUUCCAAGAAGCAAAGCAGUUUUGCAAGAAACUUCAACAAGAGGACUUUCUAGCUACAGCUAUGGGUCAAUUGCUUGCAAGGAUUGCACAAGCAGAGAGAAGGGAAGAGACAAGAUAAAAAAGAUAACAAAACAGUCAUUUCACUUUAAUCAAAUCCUUUCUUGAGGCCUGAGAAACUUUCUAUUACUGUGUGCAUGUUUGUUUGUUUUUUUUUUUAAUUUCCAUUUCCAUUUGCUUGUACACUUGUGACUUGCAGCUGACACUACAAGCAGUACUGCCAAAACACCAUGGGAAACACCAUACCUUCUAUUUUUCUGACCGCACAGUAAUAUCCUGAAGAAGAAACAAACUGGUUUUCAUGAAAGUUUCUAUCUGAGGCCAGGCUGGGUCACAUACUAGUUUGCCCUGUUGCCAGCACCAGAUAAAGAAGAAAAAGAGUAAGCCUUUCUGCAGGGUGAGGAGAAAUUCAGGGGUAAUUCUCAAAUUUAUGAUUGGCCAUAAAAGUACUUUUUCACUUUUGCUUUUAGGUACAGCUUACAAUGGCUGCUCAUCUACUUUCAGGCAUAGUAGUGGGUGGUCACCACAGUCAGGUCAUGGGUAGUGACUGUUACUGCAUAUCACAGUUGUUUCUUUUUUUCCCUUUUGUCAAGAACAAAAGGUCAGAAAACUUUAAUGUCUCUGAAUACAUUAAUUCAAGCCUAUUAAAUUACUACUCUGUCCAUUUAAUCUCAGAAGUAUUUUCUAAAAAUGCAUGUGUCAUUUAAUGUGUUACUUUAUUUAGAAGCAAACAAAUAUUUUUUUUCUGGAGAUUAAUGAGUGCCAGUUAUAUAAGCUGCAGCAUUUACCACUAUUUGGCUACAGCAGACAGAAAAUGAAGUUCUUAUAUGAACAAGAAGAACAGUUAUCAUGGCCUAUUAAAGAUUGUCAAAUUUUGUUAUCAUUCUUCCUCUUAUCCCUCCUCCAGUAUUUUUUCUACUUAAACAGAUUGGACAUUCAGAGCAUUUCAUGCAUGUUGGAGGAAUUUCUUGUUGCUGGCAACAGUCUGGUAUAAUGACAAUCCACCCACAAGCAGUCCAGCAGCAGGAGAGAAGAGAUUUUAGAUUUGUCGUUUUUACAGCAUAUAUCUAUUAACUACAUUUGCAGUAGAGAAACACUGGAGACAGCAAAAUAAGCAAUGGUCCACUGAUUACCUGUAGGUCAAACUGAGAUAGCCACUAAUAAUGUAAACUAGUAACAAUAAAAGAAUCAAAACCUAAAUUAAGAAGUGAGGAAUAUAAACUGCAAGUAUCUGUUCACUCAUCCUCUUUGUUUUGAGUACAUCAGCCCAAAGGAAGCCUGAAACACAGGAGUGCAUUUCUUCCCUAUUGUGAACCUCUGGGAGUGCACUGAUCAGUUUCCUACUCUGUACAACAGCAGGUUUGGGCAAAGGCCUCGGUUGUGCUUUCAAAAGGUUUGAUGGGCUUAGUUCCUCUCAUCCAAAAAGCAAAUGACAGAGGCUAAAGACUGUAAUCAAGAACUUCAUCACUCUGGUACAGUGAGAAAUACAGUAGCAGCACAGAACCUUUCCUAGGCAGGAGAGAGGAGUAUGCUGUUCAGGAACCUGCCACAUGCUGUCAAACACCCUUAAUAUUAAAGUCUGUGGAAAAUCAUGUCUUUGCUCCUUCAUUGAGUAUGUUUUCAAACCUCAUCUCCACAUGCACAGAAGGGUGGACUCACCCAGUACAAAUAUCUGUAAGCGUCUACAACUGAACUGAUCACACUUCCAGUAGAUGGAGAACAGUUAAUGAAAUCUGAAAGUACAAUUCUCACCAGCAAUGAAUAGGUACUUAAAAAAAAAGAUGGUUACACUGUGGAUAGCUUGAAUUAAUGUGAAGAUGAAAAGUCUUCAGAGCAAUUAUACUAUACACAUGGUAUCUGUUCGAUCUUAAUGCUGAAUAGUUAAAAUUGCAAGGCAAUGGCUGAAAAUGCAUUAAGUUUCUAAUGAGGAAAGUCAGAUGGAUCUUUGUGUAAUUCUAAAAUGACGUACAUAGCCUGAUAAUCAAAAUCUGC
ensembl:lncRNA